UCCUGUGACGAAACCCAAAGCACAGAGAGAUCGUGAAGACGCCACAUGAGGAAGAGUAAAGAAUUAAAGUGGCUGUCUUUCUUCGAAACAUCAAAGAGGGGAGGAAAGUUGAAAAAAAAAGAGAUGUAAGCAGAUGAGAAGAGUAAAGUAAGAGAAGCUUCUGGAGAUGGGUGGAGGGAUGAAAAGAAAAGACCAGACAUCAACUACUGAGCACCUGCCCAAGUCUUCUGAUGCAUAAGAGGCAGCCUUCUCUCAACCUUUCAAGUCUCCUGCGAGUCCUGAAGAAGCUUUGAUUUCCUAACAGUCUACUCAACAAACACUUCAGUGUGAGAUCAGAAGAAAACACAAUUAAAAUAAUUAAAGUUUAUGGAAUGUCUAUUUCUGACAGACU